rnacentral:rRNA from 1 species
AGCAGUAGGGAAUCUUCGGCAAUGGACGAAAGUCUGACCGAGCAACGCCGCGUGAGUGAAGAAGGUUUUCGGAUCGUAAAACUCUGUUGUUAGAGAAGAA